ACACAGACAUACAUACAUACAUACAUACAGACACACACACAUACAUACAGACACAGACACACACACACACACAUACAGACAGACAGACACAGACACACACACAUACAUACAGACACACACAUACAGACAUACACAGACAUACACAGACACACACACACAUACAUACAUACAGACACACACACACACACACACACACAUACAGACACAGACACACACACAUACAUACCGACACACACACACACACACAGACACAUACACACACAUACAUACAUACAGACACACACAUACAGACAGACAGACACACACAUACAUACAGACACAGACACACACACACACACACACAUACAGAGACAGACACAGACACACACACACAUACAUACAGACACACACAUAUAGACAGACAGACAUACACAGACACACACAUACAUACACAGACACACACACACAUACAUACAUACAACAUACAGACACACACACACACACAUAUACAGACACACACAUACAUACAUACAGACACACACCUACAGACAGACAGACACACAUACAUACACAGACACACACACACACACAUACAUACCGACACAGACACACACACACACACACAUACAUACAUACAGACACACACAUACAGACAGACAGACACACACACAUACAUACAUACACAGACACACACACACACACACACACACACCGCCCGCCCAUAAAGUCGUGGAUCGUAUGGUCCAACAAUAAACCUUUUGCACUACAUUAUCUGUUCUCUCUAUCUCUCUAUUUCUAUUCUCUAUCACACUGUUUCUACAGUCCCAUGUACCACUUUUUCAGACCAUGCUGCAGGCCUUGUAAUUACUUGUCCAAUUGCGCCAACACCAAGAUGGUGUUGUAGGGCGCAGGGCUCCCGUUGGUUCAUAUAAUGCAGCUCUCCUUGUAACCUUCCUUGAUGAGCUAGAUCAGGUCUGUAGAGCUGAUGGUGUGACCGAUGUCAUCGUGUGGGACAAUGUUAGGUUCCACCAAGCUCAAAUGGUGCAAGGUUUCAUGCCAAUGCCAGUGCCAUUGCCAGUGUCAGGUGUCAGAUUUUUUACAAGAUGUUUGGCCAAUGAAAACAUCCAUCGUGAUGUAGAUGAGAAACUGUGGCCAGAUCCACAAGACAACACUUUGAUUCAAAUAAACCCGAGUUGUGAUUUUAUUGUGUUUCUUAAAUUUCGUUCAAUGAUUCCACUGUGUCUGUACUACUACUACGUUCUACCACAGUAGUACUUUUAAAGGGAUGUAUUUACAUUUAGUAGAAUAAUCAAACCUGUAUCAUCUAUUUUGUACAGCAUUAGUGACAAUGUGACAAUGGUACAUGAACACCUAAUGGCCCGCCGAGUCACAACACUUUAAUCAGCGCCUCUUCAGAGUUAUUUCUGCAGCUCUCCAGCCUGGAAGCGGAAAGAAAGCGCUGCUCGUUCCAGAAGAGUACAGAUGUUACUGGAAUGCAAACAGCAGUCCUCCGUGACCUUCCUGUGAUCCUUGGAGAUGAGAACACAGACUUCUUUAAGACAUGCUUUGACUCUCGAGACAUGUCUCACACCUCCAUGGGGAUCCUGACAGUGAUUGCCGAAGACGGUGCCGCCUUUCUUCACUCACUGCACCUUGAAUCCACAACUACUGCCGUCAUUUUGGAAAAAACACUGGUGAUACAUUUCCCAUCAAAAUCUGCCACAUCCCAUGUGCCUGCUACCCUCAGACACCGAGGAACAUCUUAGGGUUUGUUCAAAGAGUGCUUCUCUCACUAAAAUCCCUCAAACCCAAACUACAAUCGCUCAAAACCUACUAAUGCAGUGAGGAAUUGUCUUCAUGAUGUUUAU
ensembl:lncRNA